CACGUAGGGGGCAAGCGUUGUCCGGAUUUAUUGGGCGUAAAGAGCUCGUAGGUGGUUCGAUAAGUCGAGUGUGAAAACUCCAGGCUCAACCUGGAGACGCCACCCGAUACUGCUGUGACUAGAGUCCGGUAGGGGAGCGUGGAAUUCCUGGUGUAGCGGUGAAAUGCGCAGAUAUCAGGAGGAACACCAGCGGCGAAGGCGGCGCUCUGGGCCGGAACUGACGCUGAGGAGCGAAAGCGUGGGGAGCAAACAGG
rnacentral:rRNA from 1 species